rnacentral:rRNA from 1 species
UUUUAGAUUAUAAAAAAGGAUUAUAUUUACCUAAGUAUUAUGAAAGUAUAAUUAUUAUAUGUAAUUCAUUUUAAAAGUUAAAAAGUUUGGCGGUUUUACAUAUCCAUUUAGGGGAGUUUGUUAAUUAAUUUGAUAAUCCUCAUUUUAGACUUACUUUUUUUUGAAAUAUAAUACAGUUUGUAUAUUGCUGUCAUUAGUUUAUAUUUUAAAAAUUAUUAAAUAACUAUGUAAUUAAUUGAUUUUUAUGUCAAGUCAUAAUGCAGCUUAUAAAAAAGAUUUAGUGAACUACUAUAAUUAAUUUUGUUAAAAUCCGGAUUUUAAAAAUUAUUUUUAUUAGAAAGGUGGACUUAAUAGUAAAUUGUAAUUAGUAUGUAUUAUUGAAUACUGGUUUUGUAGAGUG